CCUACGGGUGGCAGCAGUGAGGAAUAUUGGUCAAUGGGCGCGAGCCUGAACCAGCGACGCCGCGUGAGUGAAGAAGUAUUUCGGUAUGUAAAGCUCUAUCAGCAGGGAAGAAAAUGACGGUACCUGACUAAGAAGCCCCGGCUAACUACGUGCCAGCAGCCGGGGUAAUACGUAGGGGGCAAGCGUUAUCCGGAUUUACUGGGUGUAAAGGGAGCGUAGGCGGUGCAGCAAGUCAGAUGUGAAAGGUCGGGGCCCAACCCCGGGACUGCAUUUGAAACUGUUGGACUGGAGUACAGGAGAGGUAUGCGGAAUUCGUGGUGUAGCGGUGAAAUGCGUAGAUAUUAGGAAGAACACCAGUGGCGAAGGCAGCUUACUGGACUGUAACUGACGUUGAGGCUCGAAAGCGUGGGGAGCAAACAGGAUUAGAUACCCCAGUAGUC
rnacentral:rRNA from 1 species